rfam:Salmo salar isolate Sally breed double haploid chromosome ssa19, whole genome shotgun sequence.
AUGAGCGUUUGGCCAUGAGAACUGAAUUCCAUAGAUGGUAGUUGCUCAGAUAGACAUCUAUGGAUUCAGUUCUUCUUGCCUGGCAGCUACAA